AAGAGCGAGCCACAUGGGAAGGUAUAUAUUAUUUCCAUAGUGGAGCCUUUUUAUUUUUGCUCCUCAGUCUCAUAUUGGUGUCUAGCUUUUAUGUAUAGGCUACUGUACACAUUUUAUGUUUCAGAUUGUUGUCAUUCACUUGCAAGGGGAGAUUCCAGUGCGUCCAGAGGUCUGGGCAAAAAUAAAAAACAACACGAGGGACUCCAUGUUCGUGAAGGAGUUGGCUGUGGCGUUUUGGGGCACCGACACCUUAGGGGAAAGGAGCCUGACUGGAAAGGAAUGCCCCACCACCAAGACCACCAGGCAGCCUCUAACAAUUUGCUUCAAGCAGUGGCUGUACGAGAAAUACGUGGAGGACCAAGAAAUGCUGGCCGGAUUGGCAAAGACCGGAAGAUACAUAACAGAGAAGAUAAUGGAUAUUAACAAGAAAAAAAAAAAAA